GACGAACGCUGGCGGCGUGCUUAACACAUGCAAGUCGAACGGACGGGCCCUGCUUUUGCGGGGUGCUCGUGUGGCGAACGGGUGAGUAACACGUGAGUAUCAUGCCCUUGUCUUUGUGAUAACUUCAGGAAACUGGGGCUCAUAUCGGAUAGGAGCUCCUGCUGCAUGGUGGGGGUUGGAAAGUUUCGGCUUUUGGGGAUGGACUCGAUGCUUAUCAGCUUGUUGGUGGGGUAGUGACGUACGAGGGCUGUGACGGCUAGCCGGCAUGAGAGGGUGACCGGCGACAUGGGGCCUGAGAGACGGACCAGACGCCUACGGGAGGCAGCAGGGGGGAAUAUGGCACAAUGGGCGGAAGCGUGAGGUAGCAAUCCUGCGUUCGGGAUAACGUCUUAUGGGGGAUAAACAUCUGUGUACGGAGAUGAAGCGUGAGUGACGGUAAUGGGUAAGGAAGCACCGGCUAACUACGUG
rnacentral:rRNA from 1 species